UGACAGUACUCCUACGGGGAGGCAGCAGUGGGGGAAUAUUGCACAAUGGGCGCAAGCCUGAUGCAGCCAUGCCGCGUGUGUGAAGAAGGCCUUCGGGUUGUAAAGCACUUUCAGUCGUGAGGAAGGUAGUGUAGUUAAUAGCUGCAUUAUUUGACGUUAGCGACAGAAGAAGCACCGGCUAACUCCGUGCCAGCAGCCGCGGUAAUACGGAGGGUGCGAGCGUUAAUCGGAAUUACUGGGCGUAAAGCGCAUGCAGGUGGUUUGUUAAGUCAGAUGUGAAAGCCCGGGGCUCAACCUCGGAAUAGCAUUUGAAACUGGCAGACUAGAGUACUGUAGAGGGGGGUAGGAAUUUCAGGUAUAGCGGUGAAAUGCGUAGAGAUCUGAAGGAAUACCGGUGGCGAAGGCGGCCCCCUGGACAGAUACUGACACUCAGAUGCGAAAGCGUGGGGAGCAAACAGGAUUAGAUACCCUGGUAG
rnacentral:rRNA from 1 species